rnacentral:rRNA from 1 species
GAUGAACGCUGGCGGCGUGCCUAAUACAUGCAAGUCGAGCGAACGGACGAGAAGCUUGCUUCUCUGAUGUUAGCGGCGGACGGGUGAGUAACACGUGGAUAACCUACCUAUAAGACUGGGAUAACUUCGGGAAACCGGAGCUAAUACCGGAUGAUAUUUUGAACCGCAUGGUUCAAAAGUGAAAGACGGUCUUGCUGUCACUUAUAGAUGGAUCCGCGCUACAUUAGCUAGUUGGUAAGGUAACGGCUUACCAAGGCAACGAUGCAUAGCCGACCUGAGAGGGUGAUCGGCCACACUGGAACUGAGACACGGUCCAGACUCCUACGGGAGGCAGCAGUAGGGAAUCUUCCGCAAUGGGCGAAAGCCUGACGGAGCAACGCCGCGUGAGUGAUGAAGGUCUUCGGAUCGUAAAACUCUGUUAUUAGGGAAGAACAUAUGUGUAAGUAACUGUGCACAUCUUGACGGUACCUAAUCAGAAAGCCACGGCUAACUACGUG